GCGAUGGUGGUAUAGUGAUGAGCAUAGCUGCCUUCCAAGCAGUUGACCCGGGUUCGAUUCCCGGCCAUCGCA
rnacentral:tRNA from 1 species